rnacentral:rRNA from 1 species
UACAGAGGGGGCGAGCGUUGUUCGGAAUUACUGGGCGUAAAGGGCGCGUAGGCGGCCUUCUAAGUCGAACGUGAAAUCCCCGGGCUCAACCCGGGAACUGCGUCCGAUACUGGGAGGCUUGAAUCCGGGAGAGGGAUGUGGAAUUCCAGGUGUAGCGGUGAAAUGCGUAGAUAUCUGGAAGGAACACCGGUGGCGAAGGCGGCAUCCUGGACCGGUAUUGACGCUGAGGCGCGAAAGCUAGGGGAGCAAAC